UACGUAGGGUGCGAGCGUUGUCCGGAAUUAUUGGGCGUAAAGGGCUCGUAGGCGGUUUGUCGCGUCGGGCGUGAAAACACCGGGCUUAACUCGGUGCUUGCUUUCGAUACGGGCAGACUAGAGGUAUGCAGGGGAGAACGGAAUUCCUGGUGUAGCGGUGAAAUGCGCAGAUAUCAGGAGGAACACCGGUGGCGAAGGCGGUUCUCUGGGCAUUACCUGACGCUGAGGAGCGAAAGUGUGGGGAGCGAACAGG
rnacentral:rRNA from 1 species